rnacentral:rRNA from 1 species
UUUCGAAUCAUUCACAAUGGGCGCAAGCCUGAUGGUGCGACGCCGCGUGAGGGAUGAAGGUCUUCGGAUUGUAAACCUCUGUCACUGGGGAGGAAACCCUGUAUGUUAACAGUAUACAGGCUGACUUAACCCGGAGAGGAAGCAGUGGCUAACUCUGUGCCAGCAGCCGCGGUAAUACAGAGACUGCAAGCGUUAUUCGGAUUCACUGGGCGUAAAGGGUGCGCAGGCGGCCGUGUGUGUGAGGUGUGAAAGCCCGGGGCUUAACCCCGGAAAUGCGCCUCAAACUACACGGCUAGAGCAUUGGAGAGGGUAGCGGAAUUCAUGGUGUAGCAGUGAAAUGCGUAGAUAUCAUGAGGAACACCAGAGGCGAAGGCGGCUACCUGGACAAUUGCUGACGCUCAGGCACGAAAGCGUGGGGAGCAAAAGGGAUUAGAUACCCCUGUAGUCCACGCCCUAAACGGUGCGCA